CUCUUUUAGUCAACUGUUCAGAGCCAUGAGAAAUGUUGGAGCAACGAGGGUGCCAAAUGACGAUGUGUUCGAAGAAGAAGACAUAAAACGACGCAGAGAGGCCAGCGAGGAGGACGGGAGGAGCCAAGAUGGAGGCAGAGAGACAUGGAGGGAGGAGCCAA